rnacentral:rRNA from 1 species
GACAGAGGGUGCAAACGUUGCUCGGAAUUACUGGGCGUAAAGCGCGUGUAGGUGGAUUGGUGUGUCAGAUGUGAAAGCCCUGGGCUCAACCCAGGAACUGCACCUGAAACUACCAGUCUUGAGUGGUGGAGAGGGAAGUGGAAUUCCUGGUGUAGAGGUGAAAUUCGUAGAUAUCGAGAGGAACACCGGUGGCGAAGGCGGCCAACUGGACGAAUACUGACGCUGAGACUCGAAAGCGUGGGGAGCAAACAGG